rnacentral:rRNA from 1 species
GACGAACGCUGGCGGCGUGCUUAACACAUGCAAGUCGAACGGAAAGGCCCUGCUUGCAGGGUGCUCGAGUGGCGAACGGGUGAGUAACACGUGGGUGAUCUGCCCCUUACUUUGGGAUAAGCCUGGGAAACUGGGUCUAAUACUGGAUAGGACCAUGCUGUAGGUGGUGUGGUGGAAAGAUUAGUUUCGGUAAGGGAUGAGCUCGCGGCCUAUCAGCUUGUUGGUGGGGUAAUGGCCUACCAAGGCGUCGACGGGUAGCCGGCCUGAGAGGGUGGACGGCCACAUUGGGACUGGGAUACGGCCCAGCCUCCUACGGGAGGCAGCAGUGGGGAAUAUUGCACAAUGGGCGCACGCCUGAUGCAGCGACGCCGCGUGGGGGAUGACGGCCUUCGGGUUGUAAACUCCUUUCAGCCAUGACGAAGCCCUUGUGGUGACGGUAGUGGUAGAAGAAGCACCGGCUAACUACGUG